AUUGAACGCUGGCGGCAGGCCUAACACAUGCAAGUCGAACGAGUGGCGGACGGGUGAGUAAUGUCUGGGAAACUGCCUGAUGGAGGGGGAAAAUACUGGAAAACGUAGCUAAUACCCCAAAACAACAGAUGUUGCCAGAUGGGAUUAGCUUGUUGGUGGGGUAACGGCUCACCAAGGCGACGAUCCCUAGCUGGUCUGAGAGGAUGACCAGCCACACUGGAACUGAGACACGGUCCAGACUCCUACGGGAGGCAGCAGUGGGGAAUAUUGCACAAUGGGCGCAAGCCUGAUGCAGCCAUGCCGCGUGUAUGAAGAAGGCCUUCGGGUUGUAAAGUACUUUCAGCGGGGAGGCGUUACCCGCAGAAGAAGCACCGGCUAACUCCGUGCCAGCAGCCGCGGUAAUUC
rnacentral:rRNA from 1 species